rnacentral:rRNA from 1 species
AGCUCCAAUAGCGUAUAUUAAUGCUGCUGUGGUUAAAAAGCUCGUAGUUGGAUCUCGGCGUGCAGGGAGCGGUCCGUUUUUCGACGCGACUGCUCCCGUUGCGCGUGAGUUUGGCGGAGGUUCCGGGGUGCUCUUAACCGAGUGUCCCGGGGCGCCGCCAGGUUUACUUUGAAAAAAUUAGAGUGCUUAAGGCAGGCUUCACACGCUUGAAUAGCCGUGCAUGGAAUAAUAGAAUAGGACGUCGUUUCUAUUUCGUUGGUUUUCGGAAAUCGACGUAAUGAUUAACAGGGACAGUCGGGGGCAUUAGUAUUCAGGCGCUAGAGGUGAAAUUCUUGGACCGUCUGAAGACUAACUACUGCGAAAGCAUUUGCCAAGAAUGUUUUCA